AACCAGCCACUCCGCGUGCAGGAUGAAAGCCUUAUUGGUUGUAAACUGCUUUUGUAUAUGAAUAAAAAAUUCUAAUUAUAGAAAUAAUUGAAGGUAAUAUACGAAUAAGUAUCAGCAAACUACGUGCCAGCAGCUGCGGUAAUACGUAGGAUACAAGCGUUAUCCGGAUUUAUUGGGUUUAAAGGGUGCGUAGGCGGUUUUUUAAGUCAGUAGUGAAAUCUUAAAGCUUAACUUUAAAAUUGCUAUUGAUACUGAAAAACUAGAGUUAGUUUGGAGUAGCUGGAAUGUGUGGUGUAGCGGUGAAAUGCGUAGAUAUCACACAGAACACCAAUAGCGAAAGCAAGUUACUAAGCCUAUACUGACGCUGAGGGCACGAAAGCAUGGGGAGCAAACAGGAUUAGAUACCCUGGUAGUCCAUGCUGUAAACGAUGAUCACUAACUAUUGGGUUUUGUACUUUUGUACGUUGUAAUUCAGUGGUUAAGCGAAAGUGUUAAGUGAUCCACCUGAGGAGUACGACCGCAAGGUUGAAACUCAAAGGAAUUGACGGGGGCUCGCACAAUCGGUGGAGCAUGUGGUUUAAUUCGAUGAUACGCGAGGAACCUUACCAAGACUUAAA
rnacentral:rRNA from 1 species